rnacentral:rRNA from 1 species
GAUGAACGCUGGCGGCGUGCCUAAUACAUGCAAGUCGAGCGAACAGACGAGGAGCUUGCUCCUCUGACGUUAGCGGCGGACGGGUGAGUAACACGUGGAUAACCUACCUAUAAGACUGGGAUAACUUCGGGAAACCGGAGCUAAUACCGGAUAAUAUAUUGAACCGCAUGGUUCAAUAGUGAAAGACGGUUUUGCUGUCACUUAUAGAUGGAUCCGCGCCGCAUUAGCUAGUUGGUAAGGUAACGGCUUACCAAGGCAACGAUGCGUAGCCGACCUGAGAGGGUGAUCGGCCACACUGGAACUGAGACACGGUCCAGACUCCUACGGGAGGCAGCAGUAGGGAAUCUUCCGCAAUGGGCGAAAGCUUGACGGAGCAACGCCGCGUGAGUGAUGAAGGUCUUCGGAUCGUAAAACUCUGUUAUUAGGGAAGAACAAAUGUGUAAGUAACUAUGCACGUCUUGACGGUACCAAAUCAGAAAGCCACGGCUAACUACGUG